AGCAGCCGCGGUAAUUCCAGCUCCAAUAGCGUAUAUUAAAGUUGUUGCAGUUAAAAAGCUCGUAGUUGAAUUUCGGGAUCAAUAUAACGGUCAUGCCGUUGGUAUGCACUGUUAUAAUUGAUUUCUCACCUUCUAAAGAACCGUAAUGCCAUUAAUUUGGUGUCACGGGGAAUUAGGACUGUUACCUUGAAAAAAUUAGAGUGUUUAAAGCAGGCUCACGCUUGAAUACAUUAGCAUGGAAUAAUGAAAUAGGACAUCCGAUUCUAUUUUGUUGGUUUCUAGGAUCGAUGUAAUGAUUAAUAGGGAUAGUUGGGGGCAUUAGUAUUCAAUUGUCAGAGGUGAAAUUCUUGGAUUUAUUGAAGACUAACUACUGCGAAAGCAUUUGCCAAGGAUGUUUUCAUUAAUCAAGAACGAAAGUUAGGGGAUCGAAGACGAUCAGAUACCGUCGUAGUCUUAACCAUAAACUAUGCCGACUAGGGAUCGGAUGAUGUUAAAAAAAUGACGCGCUCGGCACCUCAUG
rnacentral:rRNA from 1 species